AGAGUUUGAUCCUGGCUCAGAAUCAACGCUGGCGGCGUGCCUAACACAUGCAAGUCGAACGAGAAAGGGUAGCAAUACCUGAGUAAAGUGGCGCACGGGUGAGUAACACGUGACUAACCUACCUUUGAGUGGGGGAUAACUGAGGGAAACCUUAGCUAAUACCGCAUAAUACCCACGGGUCAAAGAAGCAAUUCGCUUAA
rnacentral:rRNA from 1 species